UAGGGAAUCUUCCACAAUGGACGCAAGUCUGAUGGAGCAACGCCGCGUGAGUGAAGAAGGCUUUCGGGUCGUAAAACUCUGUUAUUGAAGAAGAACGUGUGUGACAGUAACUGGUCAUGCAGUGACGGUAUUCAAUCAGAAAGUCACGGCUAACUACGUGCCAGCAGCCGCGGUAAUACGUAGGUGGCAAGCGUUGUCCGGAUUUAUUGGGCGUAAAGCGAGUGCAGGCGGUCUUUUAAGUCUGAUGUGAAAGCCUUCGGCUUAACCGAAGAAGGGCAUCGGAAACUGGGAGACUUGAGUGCAGAAGAGGAGAGUGGAACUCCAUGUGUAGCGGUGAAAUGCGUAGAUAUAUGGAAGAACACCAGUGGCGAAGGCGGCUCUCUGGUCUGUAACUGACGCUGAGGCUCGAAAGCGUGGGUAGCAAACAGGAUUAGAUACCCUGGUAGUCCACGCCGUA
rnacentral:rRNA from 1 species